CUUGAGGGAGCCCAGCCACAGCGGCCGGUCCGCGGGGCGGUCCUGGCCGUAGGUGGCGAGCAGGGCCUGUGCCUC
rfam:Streptomyces sp. Mg1, complete genome.